GACGAACUGUGCAAACGUUAUUCGGAAUCACUGGGCUUGAAGAGUGCGUAGGCGGUUUCGUAAGUAGGGUGUGAAAGCCCCCGGCUCAACCGGGGAACUGCGUCCUAAACUGCGGGGCUGGAGUGAGGUAGGGGUGUGUGGAACUUCCAGUGGAGCGGUGAAAUGUGUUGAUAUUGGAAGGAACGCCGGUGGCGAAAGCGACACACUGGGCCUUGUCUGAGCGCUGAGGCACGAAAGCCAGGGGAGCAAACGGG
rnacentral:rRNA from 1 species